rnacentral:lncRNA from 1 species
UCCAAGGUCGGAUAUUAUUUUAUUUUUUCUUCUGGAAUCUUUAUUGUUUUGUUUUUACGUUUAGGGAUAUGAUUAUGAUGUAUCUCAUUACUUCUUGUUAUAGUGUGAAGUAGAAAUCAAAGUCCAUGUUUUUCCAUAUCGACCCAGCGCUACUUACGGAAAAGACAAUCCCUUCCCUCCCACAGGAGAACUGUCAUCAAUCAGAAAUGCUCACUCUGGAUGCAUUGUGGACGAUGGAUUGGUGGCGGAGUGGAUCCAGGGGAAUGUGUAGAAGAAUAUUGGCAAACCAAGAGGAGAUGAUGGUGGCCUGGAUGAGGGUAGUGGUCGUGGAGGAAGAGGAUGGAGGUGAAAUCAACAGGGCUUGGUGAUGGAUUGGAAAUGAGUGGAGGAUGCUUUGAACUAUAGCCAACAGAAAGCCCUAUUCAAACUGGUUUAAAAAAAUAAAGACUUCACCAAAGGCUGAAGAAACAGACUUUGAGUUGAAGUUUCAGGAAUAACUCCCGGGACUAGGUCAUCAAGAAAACUGCUGUAAUCAGAAAGCCACCGGCUCCAGAAUGCAUCACAGCUACCACCAGGGAGCCGCCAUUAUCAGGAGGCUGCUACUAAUGUGCCACACCAUCACACCACGCCUGCCACAGUCCUUGGCAGCAGAAUAAAUGCGUGUUCAUGUCUUAUUCUUGAUGUCCACUAAGCUAGGAAAACCACAUCUUUACCAACUGUACGACAGAAAAACCAGAUGUCUUCACAACUGUGUUGUUAGCAGAAAUGGCAAAAACAACAGGAAGAUGGCCUUCACCUUCCUUCCAUUUUCUACAUCUUGUGUGACUGAAUCUGAUUGGCUGAGUCUUAAUUGUCAGAGUCCUGGCUGCCAGGGACCCUGGCAUAGCAUGCUAGAAGGAGGUGCUGACCCAAUGUAUCCAUCACAUCACAUCAAACCACACAAAGUAUGGUGAUAUUAUGUUCUUUUCUGUCUUUCUUACUGGAUGGAGUGGGUUCCAGGAGGGCAGAGUUCUAUUAACCUUCUUUUUUUUUUUUUUAAGACAGAGUCUCGCUGUGUCACCA